GGACACGUGUCGGGCACGGGCUGGCCUGGGGGGAUUCGCGAUCAUUAUGGCGCCGGAUCCCAGGGUCUAUUUAAACCCGUCCUUUCACCUUUAGGGGCCCUAUUCCAUUCCAGAGUUCUACCAGUAUCUGCCCUCCCUUCGAGAGCCCUAUUUCUGUUGGUGUCUUCUCGGGCCAUAGGCGCCCUUCAAAUCAUCCCUGUCUUCGUCCCUCUGCAUCCCUCAGAGCGAUCUAGGUUAGUCCCAGCACCUUCAUCUUUCUUCCCGCCACUUAGGGGCCUCUUCUUUGCCAUUAUUUUUUUGUAUUCCUCCGAGUUAGUUUCCUGUGACCUCUCGCCCCUUAUCCUGUCCGUCUUCUUCGGGAUCUUUAGAAUCCUCAUUCGAAGCUAUUCGAAAUGUCGUCCGGCUCUUCCGCUCCCAGCGGUUCCGGGAGUUCUUCCGCCUCAAACCCCCAGGUCCCUCGCUCUGUAGACGAACCCGCGUCUGGGGCUGGGCUCCAC
rnacentral:lncRNA from 1 species